AUGUCUUCUACUAUGUAUGUGUGUGUAUAUAUACGUAUAUACACACACACACACACACACACACACACACACACACACACACACACACACAUAU
rnacentral:miRNA from 1 species